rnacentral:rRNA from 1 species
AUUGAACGCUGGCGGCAGGCCUAACACAUGCAAGUCGAGCGAGCGGCGGACGGGUGAGUAAUGUAUGGGGACUGCCCGAUCGAGGGGGAUAAAUACUGGAAAAGGGGGCUAAUACCGCAUAAUGUACGAUCACCCAUAUGGGAUUCGCUAGUAGGUAUGGUAAUGGCGUACCUAGGCGACGAUGCCUAGCUGGUCUGCGCGGAUGAUCAGCAACACUGGGACUGAGAGACGGCCCAGACUCCUACGGGGGCAGCGAUGGAGAAUAUUGCACAAUGGGCGCAAGCCUGAUGCAGCCAUGCCGCGUGUAUGAAGAAGGCCCUAGGGUUGUAAAGUACUUGCAGUCGGGAGGCGUUACCGACAGAAGAAGCACCGGCUAACUACGUGCCAGCAGCCGCGGUAAUUC